UAAUGAGAUUACAACACAGUUUGGGAACUCUCCACCAAGUCAUACAAUGAUAACACGUCUCAAAGGGUGCUGUGCCACAUUUCUGGAUGACACAGAUCAUGAAAAUUUUGGGUGUGCAAAACCA